rnacentral:rRNA from 1 species
AUUGAACGCUGGCGGCAUGCUUUACACAUGCAAGUCGAACGGUAACAGGCCGCAAGGUGCUGACGAGUGGCGAACGGGUGAGUAAUGCAUCGGAACGUGCCCAGUCGUGGGGGAUAACGCAGCGAAAGUUGCGCUAAUACCGCAUACGAUCUAUGGAUGAAAGCGGGGGACCGUAAGGCCUCGCGCGAUUGGAGCGGCCGAUGUCAGAUUAGGUAGUUGGUGGGGUAAAGGCUCACCAAGCCGACGAUCUGUAGCUGGUCUGAGAGGACGACCAGCGACACUGGGACUGAGACACGGCCCAGACUCCUACGGGAGGCAGCAGUGGGGAAUUUUGGACAAUGGGCGCAAGCCUGAUCCAGCAAUGCCGCGUGCAGGAAGAAGGCCUUCGGGUUGUAAACUGCUUUUGUACGGAACGAAACGGUCCUGGUUAAUACCCGGGGCUAAUGACGGUACCGUAAGAAUAAGCACCGGCUAACUACGUGCCAGCAGCCGCAGUAAAAC